CGGGCUGUAGCGCAGUUGGCUAGCGCACCUCGUUUGGGACGAGGGGGUCGUGAGUUCGAGUCUCACCAGCCCGA
rnacentral:tRNA from 1 species